GACGAACGCUGGCGGCGUGCUUAACACAUGCAAGUCGAACGGAAAGGCCCUGCUUUUGUGUGGUGCUCGAGUGGCGAACGGGUGAGUAACACGUGAGUAACCUGCCCUUGACUUUGGGUUAACGUCAGGAAACUGGGGCUAAUACCGGAUAGGAGGUCCUGCUGCAUGGUGGGUGUGGGAUAGUUUCGGCGGUUGGGGAUGGACUCGCGGCUGAUCAGCUUGUGGGUGGGGUAGUGGCUUACCAAGGCUUUGACGGGUAGCCGGCCUGAGAGGGUGAACGGGCACAUUGGGACUGCGAUAGGGACCAGAGUGGUAUGGGAGGCAGCAGUGGGGAACAUUGCACAGUGGGCGGAAGCCUGGUACAGCAGCGCCGCGUGCGGGAUGACGGCCUUCGGGUUGUAAAACGCUUUCGCCUGUGACGAAGCGUGAGUGACGGUAAUGGGUAAAGAAGCACCGGCUAACUACGUG
rnacentral:rRNA from 1 species